rnacentral:rRNA from 1 species
AGUGCCCGUCGUAUCGGGCUGCAUCUCUGUUUAAAUAACAGGUGAAGAAAGGGCCGGGCAAGACCGGUGCCAGCCGCCGCGGUAAUACCGGCGGCUCGAGUGGUGGCCACUAUUACUGGGCUUAAAGCGUUCGUAGUGGGACGGAUAAGUCUCUGGGGAAAUCUACUGGCUUAACCAAUAGGCGUCUCAGGGAUACUGGCAGACUAGGGACCGGGAGAGGUGAGAGGUACUCCAGGGGUAGGAGUGAAAUCCUGUAAUCCUUGGGGGACCACCUGUGGCGAAGGCGUCUCACCAGAACGGCUCCAACAGUGAGGGACGAAAGCUGGGGGAGCAAACCGGAUUAAAUACCCGGGUAGUCCCAGCCGUAAACGAUGCGCGUUAGGUGUAUCGGUGACCACGAGUCACCGAGGUGCCGAAGAGAAAUCGUGAAACGUGCCGCCUGGGAAGUACGGUCGCAAGGCUGAAACUUAAAGGAAUUGGCGGGGGAGCACCACAACAGGUGGAGCCUGCGGUUUAAUCGGACUCAACGCCGGAAAUCUCACCGGAUAAGACAGCUGGAUGAUAGUCGGGCUGAAGACUCUACUUGACUAGCUGAGAGGAGGUGCAUGGCCGUCGUCAGUUCGUAUG